rnacentral:rRNA from 1 species
GACAGAGGUCCCAAGCGUUAGGCGGAAUCACUGGGCUUAAAGCGUGUGUAGGCGGACUUCUAAGUACCUUGUGAAAUCCCACGGCUCAACCGUGGAACUGCUUGGUAUACUGGUUGUCUUGGGCCAUCUAGGGGCUAGCGGAACAAACGGUGGAGCGGUGAAAUGCGUAGAUAUCGUUUGGAACGCCAAUGGUGAAAACAGCUAGCUGGGGAUGUGCCGACGCUGAGACACGAAAGCCAGGGGAGCGAACAGG